UACGUAGGGGGCUAGCGUUGCCCGGAAUCAUUGGGCGUAAAGCGCGCGUAGGCGGCCCGGUAAGUCCGCUGUGAAAGUCCAGGGCUCAACCCUGGAAAGCCGGUGGAUACUGCCGGGCUAGAGUCCGGAAGAGGCGAGUGGAAUUCCUGGUGUAGCGGUGGAAUGCGCAGAUAUCAGGAGGAACACCGAUGGCGAAGGCAGCUCGCUGGGACGGUACUGACGCUGAGGCGCGAAAGCGUGGGGAGCGAACAGG
rnacentral:rRNA from 1 species